UUGCGAUCUCGGGCGACCACCAGAAUG
rnacentral:sRNA from 1 species